GGCUAAGUAGCUCAGUCGGUUAGAGCGCGGCACUCAUAAUGCUGAGGUCACUGGUUCGAUUCCAGUCUUAGCUACCA
rnacentral:tRNA from 2 species